AGCGAACGCUGGCGGCAGGCCUAACACAUGCAAGUCGAGCGCCGUAGCAAUACGGAGCGGCAGACGGGAGAGUAACACGUGGGAACGUGCCCUUUGGUUCGGAACAACCAAGGGAAACUUGGGCUAAUACCGGAUAAGCCCUUACGGGGAAAGACUUAUCGCCGAAGGAUCGGCCCGCGUCUGAUUAGCUAGUUGGUGGGGUAAUGGCCCACCAAGGCGACGAUCAGUAGCUGGUCUGAGAGGAUGAUCAGCCUCACUGGGACUGAGACACGGCCCAGACUCCUACGGGAGGCAGCAGUGGGGAAUAUUGGACAAUGGGCGCAAGCCUGAUCCAGCCAUGCCGCGUGGGUGAUGAAGGCCCUAGGGUUGUAAAGCCCUUUCGGCGGGGAAGAUAAUGACGGUACCCGCAGAAGAAGCCCCGGCUAACUUCGUGCCAGCAGCCGCCGUAA
rnacentral:rRNA from 1 species